GCUGCAGUCCACCCCGUCCAGCACGCAGGGAAUGAAACCGCGGUGCUUUGCCUUCGGCUCCUCCUCCUUCCUCUUCCCCUUCCUCUUCCUCUUCUCGCGACCGCUGCCUCAGAGGCCUCGCGGUCAGGCUCCGCUGCCCACCGCUUUAAAAGCCUUCAAAGAAGCGGGCUCCCGCCCAUGGCCCGCGGCCCUGCUUCGGGCUCCCCCGCGCGGGGCGGAUAGACAAGAUGGCUGCGGCCGGGUAGGGAGCUCAGAGCCCCUGCGCGCUUAAUCCCGUGGCUUUCAUUCAGCGAUGAACGUGCUCGGUGUUUUCACUUGACUGCUGAGGUGGUCGGCGCUGAAGAUAGGAACGUGUCGCUCUUAAGUCGCUUUUAGAUUCCAAAGUACGUUUGGAAAGCUGGCACUUUGCAGAAUUUCCUGCUAGAAAAGUAGUUUUGCCUCUGUGAUGAUCGUAGUUGGAAAGUUGGAAGAGCUGACAGGACGUCUGGAGGACUGAGAAGGCAGCACCAAGAGAUAAUGGGAUUUGCCGUGCUAGCACUAAAUUGAGACUAAGCUUCAAACUUUUAUACAAAAUUAUUUGUUGAAAAAAGAAGCUUCUGCACUACUAAAAGGAGAUGUCUGUGAAGUGCUGGACUGGGAGGCUGUGCAUGUUUCUGAAGGAAUUAACUUCAAACACUUGACAGAAUGCAAACUCAAAUCUUUUAACAUUGUAUUUUGCUUAGCAACAAUAAAACAGUAACUGACUUUUACCAGAGCUGUAACUUGGGUCACUGGGGAGAGGGGUAAGAUGCUUUGACCUUCCAUGAACAUUUGUGGUAAAAACAGAACUGAAGAAACUUCCUGUUCAUGAUAAGAUUCAUCUUCAAGUACUUAAGACGAAGAUGUGCUCUGACUUGACCUGGUUCACAUCCAUCACAAGUGUCACUGCCAGGAUGUAUGUGAAAAGAAAGCACAGUUUCACCAAUCUUCACUUCAUCACCAUGCUCCAAGAUGUAUGGAUCACAUUUCGUUUUAGGCUACAGCAAAAGAAAGUUUUGGCAGCCGUAGUUAUUAGUUACUCAUUCAGGGCACCAGUGCUAUUACAUGAAUACUGCUCAUAAUUUACUACUAAAGUCUGAAAUAACAAACGUGGGUAAACAUUUAAAAUACAAUGGGUAUUUCACUCUAGCAAUUCUAACAACAGUAGAGAUUUCCUAAUUCCUAAUACAAAGCAAACAUAAAAUAUAAAGAAUGAUCCUAAAUCCUGAAGGAAAUCAAGGAACGACAGUAUUGUUAGCAAUUUGCCAUGACAUGUUUAACAUAACUGCAUGAUUAGUUUUCUGCAAUGUAUACAGCACUGUAGCAGCAAAUACUCACCUGUAAAAUCUGAUUUCCAUUAACAACUGUUCCAUUCUGACUGCCUUGAUCCACAAGAACAUAAUUUUGCAAAUCAUGGUCAAAAUAUACUUCUGCAUGGAACUGAUAAAUAGAAGAGUAAUUGAAGUGUUCUCAUUAAGCAAAUUCUUGACAAUUUAAAUGCUAUUUUAUUGAAAAAUUUCAGUAUGUAUUUGGGAACCUCUUAGCUGUGUGAGUUUGGUACUCAAAGUUAACAAAACAUUCUAAGCACUUUGAAAUGUAUAUUAAUGGGUGAUAACAUCACAAGCUAACAUGUUCUAUUAAUAAUCUGUUUGGACAACAAACUGUCUCAAUACUGAAAAAGCAUGUACUUCCUAGACAGAAAGUAUGCUUCACUUAAAGGAUUGAAAGAUACAGUAAUGAACAAUUUCUAUUUGUUCCUAUGAAUAAAUGGUAUUUCUUCCUUGUA